AUUAGUAGUGGGCUUGGCCGCCUAAAACCACACAAAACAAAAAACCCAGCCCUACAUCUAAGCAGUGAGUUCUAGGCUUUUUCAUUCUCCUAUACUAUGUCCGUAUUCUCUUCGCCGCCGUGUCUAUUUCUCUCUGAUCCAAGGUGCAUGCUGCUCUAUUCAUCCUUCUUUGUCAGGUGAUGUUUGGGAAAUUGCGCAAGGGCUUUGAGCCCUGCAGUGUAUCUACUGUAAGGGACUGUGAAAUAAUCGAAACUGAUAUGUCCCUCCUGAUGGCAUUCUGUAAUUUUACACUGUUAUUCAUUAGAUGUAAGUUUUUCUUGUGUAUGCAAUUGUUGAAAGUUCUCUGGAGUAAUGUGCAUAAAAUGCAUAAUCAAUUGACAAAAUUGACUGCUGUUGCUUAAUGCUCAUCUUUUAGUGCUCCUGAAUUCCUCUCCUGUUCUGUUAAAUAUUAUUGGGCAUGAAAUGGUGAUUGUUGUUGGGGCUGCUAGUUGAUGAUGGUGAUAUGCACAAGGGCUUUGAGUUCCAUGUAAUGGAAAAUAUAAAUUAGUUAUGUACUACCAUCCCUUCUGUUCUGACGGUACUUGGAACAUGCAAAGAAGCAAAUAAGGCCGACUGCUAUUACUAUGCAUAUAUUGUGCUUGUUUGGCAUCUCUUCUGAAGUUCUGAGAAUGAACAAUUUUCCAAAA